CUGAUUGGCCGCUCGAGCGCCAGGCAGGAUGGGAUUGGAAGCCAAAUAUGGGCGGGAGAAGAGGGGCCAGGCGCUGGGCCUCCGGGAGGCAGCCGCAACCCGGGGGCUGGGAAAGGCCGGAGAGUGUUGGUUUGGAUUCCUAACGAAUUUCCAGUGAAAGAGAAAUGGAGAGACAAGACACUUUCAGAUCAUGUCACAUCUUGUACAUUAAAAUAAGGUAACCAGAAAUUAAAUAAGGACAUAUAACAUGCUCAGGAGUGCUAUGAAGAAACACCACAGUCAUGUGGACCUUUGUUUUUGUUUGCCUUCCUGUGUGUUGGAACUGCACUUCAACGUUCUAGAUAAAACCAGAGCCAUGAACUUGAACUGCGGUUUGCUUUUAAAGAUGUGUGUAUCAGUUAGGAAUGCUUUGGCUGACAGUGAAAGGCAACUGACUAACCGGUUUCACAGAGACUAUUUUUCAUACAUUAAGAAAAGAUCUGGAUGGGCAAUUGCUGGUGUUGGCUCAACGCCUCAGUUUCUGGGCUGGCAUCUUCCAGACGCUUCUGACCUUUUCCUUCCAGUCACCAGUGAUUAAAACAGCUCCAGGUAUGAAAUUGAAGGCACCUGGCAUGGGGGAGGAGGAGACUCGACAGGUAUACGCAUCAGAAUAUAUCAUGCGGGGUAAUACCCAUUUAAUAUAUCAUGAACAUAUUUCAAGAUAAAAGAUGUAUUUCCAUAACUUCAUUUUAAAUGGUUACAUGCUAUUCUGCUAUGUGGAUAUUCUAUUUAUUUUUAGCAAUCUGCUGUUGUUAGAUAUUUACAUUGUUUCUAUCUUUUUAGAAUCACUGACAAUACUGCCAUGGAUUUUGUCAUUAUUGUUGCUGAGUAUCUGAGCUCAUUCCGGUUUCCUUACCACACAUUCCAAGAAGUGAAGCCAUGAAACAUUUGAAAUGCUUCACCUGUGGUCAGAUUUAGAGACAAUGGCCACAAACAGAAGUUUUCUCCCCAAACCCUUAACAAACCACCUACAUCUUGUCUUGUUGGCUAGAACCAUGCCACAUGGCUACCCCUAGCAGCAAGGAGGCCGGGGACAGGGGCAUUUAGCUUUUGCAGCUUGUAGGGAAGUUGGCAGGAGCUAAGGGGGUCAAAAACAGCUGUUGCUCAUUGCCCAGCCAGCUCAGCUAUGAAUGCCUAAAAUAUUUCACCCGCGAUGUCCAAAAUAAGUACCAUGAGAAUAACAAAUUCCUUGGCUUUAGGAAUAAUUUCUAGAAGGCCUCUAUUUAUAUGUACAUGUUGCCCAGAGGGGUGACCUACCAUCAACACAUCUGUGCCCUUUGUCGUGUUAGCAUUGAUUUAUUUCUGAAGAUUUGCUAGCAGUUGCUGAGUAUAAAGCCAAGUGUUAAUAAGAUAACUAGGCUUUAAGAUAGUAUACAUAUAUCAGGAAAUCUCCAGGACAUUUAGAGUGGACCUUUAGUAUCAAUAAUCAGGCAAAGGCACUACAUUUAGCAAGAGGAGCAGGUAGGGCAGAAGGCGCUGAGAGGAUGGAUUUCACCCACUGCACUUAGCCUAACAUCACCCUCAAAGCCAACUUGUGCAGGCAAGGCAGAGUCUCUCCAGUAUGUGCUCCCCUCCAACCCUCCUAGAAUCAAUAAGACAUGAAAAAUGGACAUCAUGGGGAUGGAAGACAGACCCAGAUUUCUCCCCUCAU